CUUAACACAUGCAAGUCGAGGGGCAGCACAGGUAGCAAUACCGGGUGGCGACCGGCGCACGGGUGAGUAACGCGUAUGCAACUUACCUAUCAGAGGGGGAUAACCCGGCGAAAGUCGGACUAAUACCGCAUGAAGCAGGGGCCCCGCAUGGGGAUAUUUGCUAAAGAUUCAUCGCUGAUAGAUAGGCAUGCGUUCCAUUAGGCAGUUGGCGGGGUAACGGCCCACCAAACCGACGAUGGAUAGGGGUUCUGAGAGGAAGGUCCCCCACAUUGGUACUGAGACACGGACCAAACUCCUACGGGAGGCAGCAGUGAGGAAUAUUGGUCAAUGGCCGAGAGGCUGAACCAGCCAAGUCGCGUGAGGGAUGAAGGUUCUAUGGAUCGUAAACCUCUUUUAUAAGGGAAUAAAGUGCGGGACGUGUCCCGUUUUGUAUGUACCUUAUGAAUAAGGAUCGGCUAACUCCGUGCCAGCAGCCGCGGUAAUACGGAGGAUCCGAGCGUUAUCCGGAUUUAUUGGGUUUAAAGGGUGCGUAGGCGGCCUUUUAAGUCAGCGGUGAAAGUCUGUGGCUCAACCAUAGAAUUGCCGUUGAAACUGGGGGGCUUGAGUAUGUUUGAGGCAGGCGGAAUGCGUGGUGUAGCGGUGAAAUGCAUAGAUAUCACGCAGAACCCCGAUUGCGAAGGCAGCCUGCCAAGCCAUGACUGACGCUGAUGCACGAAAGCGUGGGGAUCAAACAGGAUUAGAUACCCUGGUAGUCCACGCAGUAAACGAUGAUCACUAGCUGUUUGCGAUACACUGUAAGCGGCACAGCGAAAGCGUUAAGUGAUCCACCUGGGGAGUACGCCGGCAACGGUGAAACUCAAAGGAAUUGACGGGGGCCCGCACAAGCGGAGGAACAUGUGGUUUAAUUCGAUGAUACGCGAGGAACCUUACCCGGGUUUGAACGCAUUCGGACCGAGGUGGAAACACCUUUUCUAGCAAUAGCCGUUUGCGAGGUGCUGCAUGGUUGUCGUCAGCUCGUGCCGUGAGGUGUCGGCUUAAGUGCCAUAACGAGCGCAACCCUUGCCACUAGUUACUAACAGGUGAUGCUGAGGACUCUGGUGGGACUGCCAGCGUAAGCUGCGAGGAAGGCGGGGAUGACGUCAAAUCAGCACGGCCCUUACAUCCGGGGCGACACACGUGUUACAAUGGCGUGGACAAAGGGAGGCCACCUGGCGACAGGGAGCGAAUCCCCAAACCACGUCUCAGUUCGGAUCGGAGUCUGCAACCCGACUCCGUGAAGCUGGAUUCGCUAGUAAUCGCGCAUCAGCCAUGGCGCGGUGAAUACGUUCCCGGGCCUUGUACACACCGCCCGUCAAGCCAUGGGAGCCGGGGGUACCUGAAGUCCGUAACCGCGAGGAUCGGCCUAGGGUAAAACUGGUGACUGGGGCU
rnacentral:rRNA from 1 species